GAUGAACGCUAGCUACAGGCUUAACACAUGCAAGUCGAGGGGAAACGACAUCGAAAGCUUGCUUUUGAUGGGCGUCGACCGGCGCACGGGUGAGUAACGCGUAUCCAACCUGCCCACCACUUGGGGAUAACCUUGCGAAAGUAAGACUAAUACCCAAUGACGUCUCUAGAAGACAUCUGAAAGAGAUUAAAGAUUUAUCGGUGAUGGAUGGGGAUGCGUCUGAUUAGCUUGUUGGCGGGGUAACGGCCCACCAAGGCAACGAUCAGUAGGGGUUCUGAGAGGAAGGUCCCCCACAUUGGAACUGAGACACGGUCCAAACUCCUACGGGAGGCAGCAGUGAGGAAUAUUGGUCAAUGGACGAGAGUCUGAACCAGCCAAGUAGCGUGCAGGAAGACGGCCCUAUGGGUUGUAAACUGCUUUUAUAAGGGAAUAAAGUGAGUCUCGUGAGACUUUUUGCAUGUACCUUAUGAAUAAGGACCGGCUAAUUCCGUGCCAGCAGCCGCGGUAAUACGGAAGGUCCGGGCGUUAUCCGGAUUUAUUGGGUUUAAAGGGAGCGUAGGCCGGAGAUUAAGCGUGUUGUGAAAUGUAGAUGCUCAACAUCUGAACUGCAGCGCGAACUGGUUUCCUUGAGUACGCACAAAGUGGGCGGAAUUCGUGGUGUAGCGGUGAAAUGCUUAGAUAUCACGAAGAACUCCGAUUGCGAAGGCAGCUCACUGGAGCGCAACUGACGCUGAAGCUCGAAAGUGCGGGUAUCGAACAGGAUUAGAUACCCUGGUAGUCCGCACGGUAAACGAUAAAUGCCCGCUGUUGGUCUGAAUAGGUCAGCGGCCAAGCGAAAGCAUAA
rnacentral:rRNA from 1 species